rnacentral:rRNA from 1 species
CAAUAGCGUAUAUUUAAGUUGCUGCAGUUAAAAAGCUCGUAGUUGGAUUUCGGGUGGGAAUGGCCGGUCCGCCGUUUCGGUGUGCACUUGCUACGCCCACCUUGCUGCCGGGGACGUGCUCUUGAGUUCACGCUCGGGACACGGAGUCGGCGAGGUUACUUUGAGUAAAUUAGAGUGUUCAAAGCAGGCCUACGCUCUGAAUACAUUAGCAUGGAAUAACACGAUAUGACUCUGGCCUAUCUUGUUGGUCUGUAGGACCGGAGUAAUGAUUAAGAGGGACAGUCGGGGGCAUUCGUAUUUCAUUGUCAGAGGUGAAAUUCUUGGAUUUAUGAAAGACGAACUACUGCGAAAGCAUUUGCCAAGGAUGUUUUCAUUAA